rnacentral:rRNA from 1 species
GGGCGUAAAGAGCUCGUAGGCGGCUUGUCACGUCGGAUGUGAAAACUCGGGGCUCAACCCCGAGCCUGCAUUCGAUACGGGCUAGCUAGAGUGUUGCAGGGGAGACUGGAAUUCCUGGUGUAGCGGUGAAAUGCGCAGAUAUCAGGAGGAACACCGGUGGCGAAGGCGGGUCUCUGGGCAACUACUGACGCCGAGGAGCGAAAGCGUGGGGAGCGAACAGGAUUAGAUACCCUGGUAGUCCACGCCGUAAACGUUGGGCGCUAGGUGUGGGGAACCUUCCACGUUCUCCGUGCCGUAGCUAACGCAUUAAGCGCCCCGCCUGGGGAGUACGGCCGCAAGGCUAAAACUCAAAGGAAUUGACGGGGGCCCGCACAAGCGGCGGAGCAUGCGGCUUAAUUCGAUGCAACGCGAAGAACCUUACCUAGGCUUAACAUAUACCGAAAACUCAUAGAGAUAUGGGGUCCGCAAGGGCGGUAUACAGGUGGUGCAUGGUUGUCGUCAGCUCGUGUCGUGAGAUGUUGGGUUAAGUCCCGCAACGAGCGCAACCCUCGUCCUAUGUUGCCAGCGGAUAAUGCCGGGGACUCAUAGGAGACUGCCGGGGUCAACUCGGAGGAAGGUAAU